CUUUGGUCCAGGCACUGUCUCUGUUUGGGAUGCAAAACAGAUCUGUGUGUGCAUAUGCUUUCAUCUGCAGCUGACAGUGCAAAACAGAGCACUGCUAAGUGGCAGAAGUGUUUACUUAGUGGUUUCUCUGGCAAAUCUUCGCUUCACCUGAUGGCAUAUCCCCUUGUAAGAACAGACUGGAGAUUUGCUUGGUUGAUUUAUUGAUUAUUGAAAGCAGUGCUUUACUGCUGACUUUCCCAAAAGACUGCAGUGUUUGAUUUCAACUCUCCCUUGAUAUCGCACAAAGCACUAAGAUCUACAGUGGAUAUAUCUGCUCUGAACUCUCUGGCAAAAGUAUACCUUUAUUAAUCAGCAGACUACUGUGGUUAGCUCCAGAAACACACCAGACACAAGAUCCCAGCAUGGAAUUACACUGCUCUUAUUCCUGUACAUCAGGAUUUAAGUGGAAGAGACCAGAAGAACUCACUGUGCUUCAGUGACUGAAGGUACCUGCAAUAAUUCACGUGAUCUCAAGAUACAUCCUAAGAUUCCUGAACUUCCUGGGCCUCUCUUGACUAUCUGGAAACAUUCAAAACCGCUGUGAAGCAAAAUGGAUAGGUUUCAAAUAAUGAAAUGAAACUUCAGAUGUUCUGACACGUGACAGUAAUUCAUAAAGUUUCCAGACAAUUCAAAAAGGCACUACAAGAACAAAAUUCCCAUGUUCCGCUUACGUACAUCAGCUCCUAGUGAAGAUUUUGUGUUCUUCUUUCACCACAAAGGUAGGAGUUCAAUUUCCUCUGUAUUUCAUAUAAAAAAUAUACAUUCACUUAGAAGAGAGGAGCACUGAGUGAGUUUUAAUGUUCUCAUUACAGCACAAUUUGGACUUUCCUUGAUUUAAGCGUUUUAAAUUCACAUUCUCUUGUAAGAAUGCUAUACCUGAGGAAAGAAGGAAAUUUCAGAGGAAGUAUCUGAAAAGAAAAAAUGAGUUUAAUUAAAUAACCAUUUGUAGGUCUUUGUGGUCUAUAUUUGAGGAGCAGAUUCUUUCUCAAGCACUAAAAGUGCACGUUGUUACAUUAAUUUAACUAAUAGGCACUAGUUAUGACAGGCUGCCUACUAAAGGUUCUAAGCCAGUGUCAUUCCUAUAGAUUUAUAAACUUGGAAAUCUGCACUUUAAAUGAGAAUCUUGCCAGUGUCAAAAUUAAAUUAAACUAAAUUAAAUCAUGUGCCCUAUCACAAAGAUCUGAGAUUCUUUUCAGAAUCAGGUACAAAUUACAAUCAUAACUCUGGCCCGACUUCUGAAUAAAAUGGAAAAGCAGUUCCAACUUCAUUAUACUCUACUAAAGUUGCUGGCAAUACAAAUGCAGGGCUAAAUCCUUAGCUGAGCAAAGUAACUGGUACUGGAGUGCCUAGAGGACAAUUACUGCCACCCUCAUGUCUUGAAUAGGUCCCAUUGUCAUGACACCCUAUGAAGAAUGGCUUCUCCAUGGACUGUUAUUAUUGUGGAGUCAAAUGCUCGUGAAAUGAUAAGCAUCCAAGACCCAAAUGUAUCCACCAAAUUCCCACUCCCAGGGGUCAAACCACAGGCUCAGGAGGGCCUAGCAGUGAAAUGCUCUUGGGAUUUGUCUGUCCAUGUACAUGUCCAGGAGAACAAAUUGCAUGACAGGCUGUUGCGUGCCUCAUCUGAAGUACUUCAGUCAGUCAUAGGUAGUAAUGUCUUGCCUCAGAGCACACCAGUGAGACCAGCCUUGAAAGAAAGUAGAGUAAGUGGUGGCUCUGUCUACUUCAAUCCAGUAGGCCAAUGGUUUAUACAGUCUGGCAAGCCUCUGUGUAAAUACAGUAGGAACUAAGGCUUUUCCUCAAAAAGAGAAGAUGCUAUGGCUAAUUCAUUGUAGGCAUAUUGCCUUGGGGUAAGACAGGAUCCAUCACACUUGCUGAUUUAGGACCUGUAAGAGUCAGGAGCCAGGAACUGGUGUAUCUCAAGGAUUGCCCUCCUACACUUCCAUGUACACCAUGUAAACUACCUGUGCUGGCUAUCUUAACUGAUUAGACUGAACACAUCACUGCAGCAGCCACAGACUUGUAAGAAAGAAAUAGUGCUGGAAGUUAACUUGAGAUGAGGGCUUACCUUUGGUGGAAAGAAAUCCUACCAUGUGUAUCUGCCUCACCAGUACAUGCCCAUCUCUGGCCGAAACUUAAGGAUUUUGUAUACAGUUUGAUCACAAUCAUCACCGUCAUCAGUUUGGAGCUUGAUGGUCCUUGAGGUCCCUUCCAAUCCAAGCAAUUCUAUGAUUCUGUGAUCAUAACCAGUCUAUGAUCCUUCAAAGUAUCUGGCAUUAAUAGGCCUCAGUGGUCAGGGAAACCACCCUGGCCUGUCCCUUUGAUGUCACAAUAUUAAAAAUAAGGUGGGCACAAUGCACAAAUCGCCAGAUAGCAUUGAGCUAGCAUACCCAGCCCCUUCCAUCCACAUGGGCUGCUGGGACCACAGGUGAUAAACAUGGCGUGCUGGUGGCAGACCACACUCUAUCAGCCCAGAAUCGUCCUGGAGGAGAAUGGUGCUCUGCAGUCGUUGCAGAGCACUUCUGAGAGCUACGCAAAAUACACCAGACACCAAGCUUCCUCUGGCUCCCUAAAACUUCUGCAUCUGAGCUCUCCCAGAAAUCAGCCUGCAGUUUUCAAGACUUCUCUUUUGCCUGCAUAGAAAGCAAAGUAUAUAUCUCCAACAUACAUCUGCAUAAUUCGGAGCAAGCUGCGUUCAACCACUGUGCCUAAAGGAGAGACCUCUUGUCAGCCAGCCCAAAAAUCUGUUUGAAGGCUGGUUUACUGGCUGACUAUGAGAAGGCUGAAGCAGAAAAAGUUUUUCCUUUUCUUUGUGUUUUCUUUUAAAGAACUUUUUUUCCUAAGCGAUGCUCAAAGAAACACCUACUCCUCCAUGCAAUAUUCUCCGUGGGAGGGGAAAAUAUUCAAUGUACUAUGGAGAAACAUCAAUUAUUUUAAGAAAAAAUAACUUGUAC
ensembl:lncRNA